rnacentral:rRNA from 1 species
UUCGUAGGCGGUGUGGCAAGUCGGGAGUGAAAUUUCUGGGCUUAACUCAGAACCUGCUUCCGAAACUGCUGUGCUCGAGUGUGGGAGAGGCGCGUGGAAUUGCAGGUGUAGCGGUGAAAUGCGUAGAUAUCUGCAGGAACACCCGUGGCGAAAGCGGCGCGCUGGACCACUACUGACGCUGAGGAACGAAAGCUAGGGGAGCAAACA